CGCAGAUACACUAUCGUUUCAAUCAGAGCUCAAACUGUUUAUUCAACGGUACAGUAGUAUUUUUCUUAAAAUAAAACUUGUUUAAAAAUGCACAGAUUAAUAAUAGCUCUAGUAUUUCUUGUAAGUUUUUCCUUCGUAGCAGCAGUGCCUUUAAAUGGACUGAACAUCCCGUCAGAGUGCAAUGACAACGCUUCCUUCGCCGACUGUGAACUCAUAGUGCGCAGCAAGUUCUGCCAACACCGUAACUAUUCUACAUUUUGUUGUAAGUCAUGCAUGAACGCUGGCCGAAAUUUGAAGAAAGGGACAGAGAUCACUGGAAGUAACUUAGUUCCUGCGAAUGACACUACACUAAUAUAAAUUAAACCUUAUAUUAAUUAACUUAUGAGAAACAACUUAAUACAGCAUAAGAAUGUACUUUGA